CCUACGGGAGGCAGCAGUGAGGAAUAUUGGUCAAUGGGCGCGAGCCUGAACCAGCCAAGUCGCGUGAGGGAAGACGGUCCUAUGGAUUGUAAACUUCUUUUGUCGGGGAACAAAGGCGGAGACGCGUCUCCGGAUGAGUGUACCCGAAGAAAAAGCAUCGGCUAACUCCGUGCCAGCAGCCGCGGUAAUACGGAGGAUGCGAGCGUUAUCCGGAUUUAUUGGGUUUAAAGGGUGCGCAGGCGGGAGAUCAAGUCAGCGGUAAAAUGUCGGGGCUCAACCCCGGCCGGCCGUUGAAACUGGUUUUCUAGAGUUGGAUAGAAGUAUGCGGAAUUCGUGGUGUAGCGGUGAAAUGCAUAGAUAUCACGAAGAACUCCGAUUGCGAAGGCAGCUCACUGGACUGCAACUGACACUGAGGCUCGAAAGUGUGGGUAUCAAACAGGAUUAGAUACCCCUGUAGUC
rnacentral:rRNA from 1 species